CGAAUCUCUUCUAGACUUCUCCCGGUCACAGUCUACUCCGAACUUCUACUGCAAGCGGUCUACUUCGAACUUCUACUGUAAGCGAACUCCAUCCGAGCUUCUAUUGUAAAUGAAUUCCUUCUGAACUUCUAUUACAGGUGGACUUCAGCCGAGCUUCUUCAAUAAGCAGUCCCCAUCUGGACUUCUACAAGAAUCGAACUCCGUCUGAACUUCCAUAGCGGA
rnacentral:lncRNA from 1 species